rnacentral:miRNA from 1 species
UCUCUCUUAGCCAAACAGUCU